rnacentral:rRNA from 1 species
GCACUUUGGAAAGAGAGUUAAACAGUACGUGAAAUUGUCGAAAGGGAAGCGCUUGAAGUCAGACAUGUUUGUUGGGAUUCAGCCUUGCUUUUGCUUGGUGUAUUUCCUUUCGAGCAGGCCAGCAUCNAUUUUGUUUGACGGAUAAGGGUAAAAGGAACGUGGCACCUCCGGGUGUGUUAUAGCCUUCUACUGGAUACGUCGAAUGGGAUCGAGGAAUGCAGUGCGCCUUCGGGCGGACCUUCGGGUACCUUCGCACUUAGGAUGCUGGCGUAAUGGCUUUAAGCGACCCGUCUUGAAACACGGACC